CCUACGGGUGGCUGCAGUGGGGAAUCUUCCGCAAUGGGCGAAAGCCUGACGGAGCAACGCCGCGUGAUCGAAUGAAGGCCUUCGGGUUGUAAAGAUCUGUUGACAGGGACGAAUAAGCAAUGCAAAUAGUUUUGUGUAUGACGGUACCUGUUUAGAAAGCUCCGGCUAACUACGUGCCAGCAGCCGCGGUAAUACGUAGGGAGCAAGCGUUGUCCGGAAUUACUGGGCGUAAAGGGCGCGUAGGUGGGCGCUUAAGUCAGGUGUGAAAACUCCGGGCUCAACCUGGAGACUGCACUUGAAACUGGGUGUCUUGAGGGCAGGAGAGGAAAGUGGAAUUCCUAGUGUAGCGGUGAAAUGCGUAGAUAUUAGGAGGAACACCGGUGGCGAAGGCGGCCUGCUGGACUGUGACUGACGUUGAGGCCCGAAGGCGUGGGGAGCGAACAGGAUUAGAUACCCCAGUAGUC
rnacentral:rRNA from 1 species